rnacentral:ribozyme from 12 species
UGAUGGCUGUGCAAGCACAGCGAGACGUAAGGCCAAAGACGGCGGAGUCUCGCGCGACGCACAAACUAAAUUUUGAGUUAGCCGCCCGACGACUUAUGGCGACAAAUAUCUCUGACGCAUUGCGUU